rnacentral:tRNA from 1 species
GGCAGGGUAGCGCAGUGGAAGCGUGUUGGGCUCAUAACCCAGAGGUCCGAGGAUCGAAACCUCGUCCCGCCC